GACGAACGCUGGCGGCGUGCCUAAUACAUGCAAGUAGAACGCUGGAGGAGGAGCUUGCUCUUCUGGAUGAGUUGCGAACGGGUGAGUAACGCGUAGGUAACCUGCCUGGUAGCGGGGGAUAACUAUUGGAAACGAUAGCUAAUACCGCAUAAGAGUAGAUGUUGCAUGACAUUUGCUUAAAAGGUGCAAUUGCAUCACUACCAGAUGGACCUGCGUUGUAUUAGCUAGUUGGUGGGGUAACGGCUCACCAAGGCGACGAUACAUAGCCGACCUGAGAGGGUGAUCGGCCACACUGGGACUGAGACACGGCCCAGACUCCUACGGGAGGCAGCAGUAGGGAAUCUUCGGCAAUGGACGGAAGUCUGACCGAGCAACGCCGCGUGAGUGAAGAAGGUUUUCGGAUCGUAAAGCUCUGUUGUAAGAGAAGAACGAGUGUGAGAGUGGAAAGUUCACACUGUGACGGUAUCUUACCAGAAAGGGACGGCUAACUACGUG
rnacentral:rRNA from 1 species